CUUGCUGCGACCCCGCCCCUCGGCCCGCCACAACCCGAAAUGAAGUCACACCGUGAUAUGUGACCCAUGGUACAACCUCCACGAGAACAAUGUCCAACCUGCCAACUUUCUUCUUUCAAGGUAGAAGGAAGACUUUCAAAAGAGUUGUGCAAUGGAUUAGCCUGGGGUUGACUGCUUUAAAGGAUAUUGCAAAUAAUAAUGGACAUAUGGAAAUAGAUGAUAGACCUUUAAUGAGAAAUCAUUUUGCAAUGUAAACCAGGCUGUUGUGCUGCAAAAAAAGUAGUUUUUUUGUUUUGUUUUGUUUUGUUUUGUUUUGUUUUGUUUUUUGUAAAUUAGCUAAAACAUUGUUAGGACUCCAGAGGAUGAACCCAGUAUAUCAAAAAAGUUUCAAACCACCUGGAUAAUGUGUGGUUUGGGGUUGAGUAAACAGGUAGACUUCAUCACAUCCCU
rnacentral:lncRNA from 1 species